AUUGAACGCUGGCGGCAGGCCUAACACAUGCAAGUCGAACGGUAACAGGAAGCAGCUUGCUGCUUUGCUGACGAGUGGCGGACGGGUGAGUAAUGUCUGGGAAACUGCCUGAUGGAGGGGGAUAACUACUGGAAACGGUAGCUAAUACCGCAUAACGUCGCAAGACCAAAGAGGGGGACCUUCGGGCCUCUUGCCAUCGGAUGUGCCCAGAUGGGAUUAGCUUGUUGGUGGGGUAACGGCUCACCAAGGCGACGAUCCCUAGCUGGUCUGAGAGGAUGACCAGCCACACUGGAACUGAGACACGGUCCAG
rnacentral:rRNA from 1 species